rnacentral:rRNA from 1 species
AACGAACGCUGGCGGCAGGCCUAACACAUGCAAGUCGAACGCUGUAGCAAUACAGAGUGGCAGACGGGUGAGUAACACGUGGGAAUCUUCCUAUCGGUACGGAAUAGCUCAGGGAAACUUGGGGUAAUACCGCAUACGCCCUUCGGGGGAAAGAUUUAUCGCCGAUAGAUGAGCCCGCGUCUGAUUAGCUAGUUGGUGAGGUAAUGGCUCACCAAGGCGACGAUCAGUAGCUGGUCUGAGAGGAUGACCAGCCUCACUGGGACUGAGACACGGCCCAGACUCCUACGGGAGGCAGCAGUGGGGAAUAUUGGACAAUGGGCGCAAGCCUGAUCCAGCCAUGCCGCGUGAGUGACGAAGGUCUUCGGAUUGUAAAGCACUUUUGGCAGGGAUUAAUAUUGUGAAAGUACCUGCAGAAUAAGGGGUUGCUAACUCUGUGCCAGCCGCCGCGGUAA